rnacentral:rRNA from 1 species
GACAUAGGUGGCAAACGUUAUCCGGAUUUAUUGGGCGUAAAGGAUGCGUAGAUGGUAUGGUAAGUUAUUAGUAUUAUGUUGGGCUCAACUCAACGGAAGCUAGUAAUACUGCUUUACUAGAGAGCAAGGGAGGUUGAUGGAAUUCGAUGUGGAGCGGUGAAAUGCUUUGAUAUAUCGAGGAACACCAAAAGGGCGAAGGCAGUCAACUAUCUUGUUUCUGACAUUGAGGCAUGAAAGCUGGGGGAGCAAAAAGG